rnacentral:tmRNA from 1 species
GGGGAUGCCAGGCCUCGACAGGAUACGCGCGCUACAAAUUGCAUGUUGAGCCGUCGCCUCAUUAAUCCGACACACAAAAUAGAUGCUAACCAAAAAUUAGCUCUUGCCUACGCAUAAGAACCUUAAGGUAUCUUAGCCGCAGGCCAUCGGUUCCUGAUGUUUCAUAGGGAGUUAACCGGUGUUAUAUAUGGAACUUACGUGCGUAGAGCGCUCUCGUACACGCACGGACAUCAAGAGAGCGAAAAUCGUUUCUUUCUGAAACUAAACAUGUAGACGUUUAUAGUGGUCUAUCCUGGAUGCGGGUUCAACUCCCGCCAUCUCCACUC